GAGGUUUGUUUGAAACAGACCGCAAUGGAGGGAAGCGAGGGAACAGCAGGCUCCUUCCAGCAGCACAUCGGGAUGUGAGCCUGGGGCACAGACGGGGCUCCGAGACCGGGAUUGAUUCGGGACAUUUACGUGAAGGAGCAAGACAAUGUAACAUUCUCUCGGUACAAAGCCAAGUGUGAUCAGCUCCUUCUAACAAACAGCAGGGUAUUCGAAGAAGAUGAUUUGAAAUGAGGAAACUUAAAACCAGGUAUCACUUCUCAAUCUGACAAGCUGCCGAGUUUAUUGUCGUAUGAAUAUCAUUGGGUUUUGCAGGAAAAAAGCACCGUUCACAGUGGGGGAGAAACCAUACGUGUGUUGUACAUGUGGACAAGUCUUCAGCAGAUCAUCUGCCCUGUCUGGGAAAGGAUUCACUCACCUUGCUGAAACCCCAGCAAGUUCACACAGAAAGCAGACCUUUGAAAUGCUCAGAAUGUGGGAGGUGCUUUAAAAACUCUGGGGCACUGAUAUCCCAACAACAUCCUCACUGUGACGAGAGACCCUUCAUGUGCUCUCACUGUGGGUGUGGGUUCAAGCUGUCGUCCAGCCUCAUUAAACACCAGUGGAUCCACACUGGGGAGAGACCAUUCACCUGCUCACACGACAGGAAAGGACUGUCUCAUAAAUCCAACCUGUUAAAACACCAGCGAUGUCUCAGAAGUUAGAGGCUGUACUGACUGUGGGAAGAGAUUCAUUGUGAAAUCCAAGCUGCUGAAACACCAAUGUGGGAUAUAAGUGAAGUAGUGUUACUUCUGCAAUUAUAAUUACUUAUACAAAGUAAAUGAACUCAUACUGGUGUGUAAUUGUUUCAGCCAAGAGCUGAGUCAACAAGAAUGAAACUAUGUGGAGGAAAUGCAUAAUUGUUUUUUUGUAUAAGCUAAAAAUGUAUGCAAGAAAGAAACAGGACUGCAAAACAAUGGUAGAAAUACAGGCGACUAGAUAAGGUGUUGUGAGGAGAAGCAGUUAAGCUAGAUACGCCUGUACAAAAAGUAGGUAUAAACAUCUGUUUUCCACUUUUACAGACACCCAGGAACUCACCCCAAUUAAAAGGGUCUUAACGAUAAGAUGAUGUGAGGGGAGGAACAGAUGGAGGGAGUAGAUAAUGGUAAGGAAAGGAUAUGCCUAACAAUGACCCACAGCAGGAUGAGGUCAAAUGGCCUUGUGAGGCCAGAAAUAAGCAUUUUGUCACAGACAAGGCCGGAUAAGGCAAGAGAUAUACAGGAGUAAUGCGUACUGGUCUUAGGGAAGUGGAGGAUGUAGCAGAAGUUUGACAAUGAAGUACACUUGCAGUUACUAAAAAUGACGUGUUUCAAUCUAGAUGACACUGAAGCACUGUGAAACACAUUACCUGACAAAAAGGAGCACAUUGAUAUCUAGUAUCAGAGAAUGAAUGAAUCCGAUUCUCACUCUCAGCUUUGUGCUGAUGAAAACACACCUUAUUCACACUCACAUUCUGGUUGAGGGCCUGAGUAAUGCAGAAGCAUUUCCAUGCAUGAACAAAAUAUGGAAUACUGAUUUAUAAAAUGUUGAACCCAUUAGCAAGUUUUGAGAAGAUUUGUAGCUCAGGUUGAGGUUCUGGGUGUAGAUUUGCUCACUGAGCUGGAAGGUACAUUUCCAGGUGUCUCAUCAGCCUACUAGGUAACAUCAUCAGUGGGCCUCCAGGCAAAGCACUGCUGCUGAUUCCUGCUUUCUGUUUAAAUGUUUGGGUUUCUUUAGGCUGGUGAUGUCAUUUCCUGUUCUUUUUCUCAGGGGGUGGUAGGUGGGGUCUAACUCAAUGUGUUUGUUGAUAGAGUUUCAAUUGGAAUGCCAUGCUUCUAGGAGUUUUCUUGUGUGGAUCUUCUUGGCUUGCCCCUGUCGAAGUGGUGUCCUUCCUUAUCUGUAUGUAUGGAUACUAGUGAGAGAGGGUAAUGUCGUUUUGUGGCUAUUUGAUGUUCAUGUAUCCUAGUUUUUUUGCCCGUUUGCCCAAUGUAGUGCUUAUUACAGUCCUUGCAUGGUAUUUUGUAAAUGAUAUUAGUUUUGCUUGUUGUGUGUAUAGGGUCUUUCAAGUUCAUUAGCUGCUGUUUUAGUGUGUUGGUGAGUUUGUGGGCAGGGGUCUGAGUAAUCUGGCAGUUAUUUCUGAGAUGUCUUUGAUGUAGGGGAGAGUGGCUAGGGUUUCUAGACGUGUUUUGUCUUCUUGUUUGGGUUUGUUGCUGAGAAAUUGGCAGUGCUUCAUCUGGAGGCCCACUGAAAAUGUUACCUGGUAGGGCAAUGAAACAUUUGGAAAUGAACCUUCCAGCUCAGUGAGCAAACCUACACCCAUGUUAAACCCAUCUCACAAAGUAUAUCCGAUCAUGACAUGCAGGACUGGAAAUAUAAGGAGACACACAGAAAAUGUCAGUGUGAUAUAGACCGGUAUCACUCUUCAGAAUGAUACACAUUGGUAGCACAACAGAAACCUCUCACAUAUUCAGCUAGUAAAUGGCAAAAGGAAAGAAAAACUGAAAUUUUGGCCCUACAAAAUGAUGAAGUGGAGAAUGUCAUUACAAUACAAAUGGGGAUGACAGUUUCCCUGCUGCCAUGAUUUUUUUUAUAUGGAAGUGGAAUGCUAGUUGAAAGGGAUGAGAGUUGUUAGCUCGGUCAACUAUUAUGAUGUUAUAAAGCGUUUUUGAUCAGUGCAGACUUAAUAAAUUGUAGAGACUUAUUCUGUGCUGGAGAUCUCUUUGACUUGAGAUUAGAUUAGAUUAGAUUAGAUUAGAUUAGACUUACAGUGUGGAAACAGGCCCUUCGGCCCAACAAGUCCACACUGACCCGCCGAAGCGCAACCCACCCAUACCCCUACAUUUACCCCUUACCUAACACUACGGGCAAUUUAGCUUGGCCAAUUCACCUGACCCGCACAUCUUUGUGACUGUGGGAGGAAACCGGAGCACCCGGAGGAAACCCACGCAGA